UACAGAGGUCCCAAGCGUUGUUCGGAUUCACUGGGCGUAAAGGGUGCGUAGGUGGUCGGGUAAGUCUGAUGUGAAAUCUCCGAGCUCAACUCGGAAAUGGCAUUGGAUACUAUUCGGCUAGAGGGUUUGAGGGGGGACUGGAAUACUUGGUGUAGCAGUGAAAUGCGUAGAUAUCAAGUGGAACACCAGUGGCGAAGGCGAGUCCCUGGAAAACUCCUGACACUGAGGCACGAAAGCUAGGGGAGCAAACAGGAUUAGAAACCCCCGUAGUCC
rnacentral:rRNA from 1 species